GACGAACGCUGGCGGCGUGCUUAACACAUGCAAGUCGAACGGAAAGGCCCUGCUUUUGUGGGGUGCUCGAGUGGCGAGCGGGUGAGUAACACGUGAGUAACCUGCCCUUGACUUUGGGGUAACUUCAGGAAACUGGGGCUAAUACCGGAUAGGAGCUCCUGCUGCAUGGUGGGGGUUGGAAAGUUUCGGCGGUUGGGGAUGGACUCGCGGCUUAUCAGCUUGUUGGUGGGGUAGUGGCUUACCAAGGCUUUGACGGGUAGCCGGCCUGAGAGGGUGACCGGCCACAUUGGGACUGAGAUACGGCCCAGACUCCUACGGGAGGCAGCAGUGGGGAAUAUUGCACAAUGGGCGGAAGCCUGAUGCAGCAACGCCGCGUGCGGGAUGACGGCCUUCGGGUUGUAAACCGCUUUCGCCUGUGACGAAGCGUGAGUGACGGUAAUGGGUAAAGAAGCACCGGCUAACUACGUG
rnacentral:rRNA from 1 species